CCGCUCACUCAUGCGCACCGCACGCGCCCCUCGCCCCGGCUCUCAGCGGGUCUCUGAGGCUGAUGAUGAAGCUUUGGGAUUGCCCCUUGGAAAUGAUCACACCUGCGUGGAGAGAUAAGAGAAGCAUUGCAUUUUGGGAUGUGAGCACGCCGAACUGAAUCUUUGAAGCAACAGAGAACCUUUCUGCGGAUCCAGAGAUA